AUCUACAGCUGUACCACCCUGAACAUGUCCAAUCUCAUCUGAUCCCGGAAGCAAAGCAGGGUCGGUCCUGGUUAGUACCAGGAUGGGAAGAACCUCAUUCCCUGUUGGAGUCGGGGGAGGUGGACU
rnacentral:rRNA from 1 species